rnacentral:rRNA from 1 species
UACGGGGGGGGGCAAGCGUUGUUCGGAAUUACUGGGCGUAAAGGGCUCGUAGGCGGCCAACUCAGUCGGACGUGAAAUCCCUCGGCUUAACCGGGGAACUGCGUCCGAUACUGGAUGGCUUGAGUGUGGGAGAGGGAUGCGGGAAUUCCAGGUGUAGCGGUGAAAUGCGUAGAUAUCUGGAGGAACACCGGUGGCGAAGGCGGCAUCCUGGACUACUACUGACGCUGAGGAGCGAAAGCCAGGGGAGCAAACGGG